rnacentral:rRNA from 1 species
UGAGUAACCUGCCCUUAACUCUGGGAUAAGCCUGGGAAAACUGGGUCUAAUACCGGAUAUGACUCCUCAUCGCAUGGUGGGGGGUGGAAAGUUUUUUCGGCUGGGGAUGGGCCCGCGGCCUAUCAGCUUGUUGGUGGGGUGAUGGCUUACCAAGGCGACGACGGGUAGCCGGCCUGAGAGGGCGACCGGCCACACUGGGACUGAGACACGGCCCAGACUCCUACGGGAGGCAG